UGCAGAGAUGCUGGGAGGGGGACCCUUCUAGUGAGCCUUUGACAAUUCUCCAGUCCUGCUUUAAGAAGAACAGCUAUCAAAGGCAGUCACUCUGAAAAUAAUUAAAUGGAAAAUAUACUUAACACCAAGAAUGAAGAUUGCCCAGCCAUCACCCCAUGGGGCCAAGUUACUUUUGGCGACUAAAGGUUUACAGUGAUGAUCCUGAAUAGACACCUGAGGUGUCAGUUAUGAAGCGACGUGAAAAGCAUCCUCUUAGAGCCUCUGCCUGCUGCGAUCUGUAAAAUGGGGCUCAUCCUUCAUUCAUGUCAGAGGCCCAGUGCUGGGUGAGACCAUGACUAUCUAUUCUCCACCAGUAUCCUGCACAGUACCUUCUGGCAUUAUGAAAGCUAGCCAGCUGAGGGGAUGUUUCCUGGUUUGGAUGUUUAGCCCACCACAAGUCCACAGCUAUGGACCCACAAAAUCACGGAUUGAAAACACGGGCCAAAGU